UACAGAGGUCUCAAGCGUUGUUCGGAUUCAUUGGGCGUAAAGGGUGUGUAGGUGGCGCGCUAAGUCGGGUGUGAAAUUUCGGAGCUUAACUCCGAAACUGCAUUCGAUACUGGCGUGCUUGAGGACUGGAGAGGAGACUGGAAUUCAUGGUGUAGCAGUGAAAUGCGUAGAGAUCAUGAGGAAGACCAGUGGCGAAGGCGGGUCUCUGGGCCGAUACUGACGCUGAGGAGCGAAAGCGUGGGGAGCGAACGGG
rnacentral:rRNA from 1 species